rnacentral:rRNA from 1 species
UACGGGGGGAGCAAGCGUUGUUCGGAUUUACUGGGCGUAAAGGGCGCGUAGGCGGCAAUUCAAGUCAGUUGUGAAAUCUCCGAGCUUAACUCGGAACGGUCAACUGAUACUGCUUUGCUAGAGUACAGAAGGGGCAAUCGGAAUUCUUGGUGUAGCGGUGAAAUGCGUAGAUAUCAAGAGGAACACCUGAGGUGAAGACGGGUUGCUGGGCUGAUACUGACGCUGAGGCGCGAAAGCUAGGGUAGCAAACGGG